GACGAACGCUGGCGGCGUGCCUAAUACAUGCAAGUCGAACGCAUUUUCUUUCACCGUAGCUUGCUACACCGAAAGAAAAUGAGUGGCGAACGGGUGAGUAACACGUUGGUAACCUGCCCAUCAGCGGGGGAUAACACUUGGAAACAGGUGCUAAUACCGCAUAAUUCCAUUUACUGCAUGGUAGAUGGAUGAAAGGCGCUUUUGCGUCACUGAUGGAUGGACCCGCGGUGCAUUAGCUAGUUGGUGGGGUAACGGCCUACCAAGGCUGCGAUGCAUAGCCGACCUGAGAGGGUGAUCGGCCACACUGGGACUGAGACACGGCCCAGACUCCUACGGGAGGCAGCAGUAGGGAAUCUUCGGCAAUGGACGCAAGUCUGACCGAGCAACGCCGCGUGAGUGAAGAAGGUUUUCGGAUCGUAAAACUCUGUUGUUAGAAAAGAACAAGGAUGAGAGUGGAAAGUUCAUCCCUUGACGGUAUCUAACCAGAAAGCCACGGCUAACUACGUG
rnacentral:rRNA from 1 species